GACGAACGCUGGCGGCGUGCUUAACACAUGCAAGUCGAACGGAAAGGCCCCUUUGGGGGUACUCGAGUGGCGAACGGGUGUGUAACACGUGAGUAACCUGCCCUUGACUUCGGGAUAACUUCAGGAAACUGGGGCUAAUACCGGAUAGGAAUCCUUGCUGCAUGGUGGGGGUUGGAAAGCUUCGGCGGUUUUGGAUGGUCUCGCGGCUUAUCAGCUUGUUGGUGGGGUAGUGGCUUACCAAGGCUUUGACGGGUAGCCGGCCUGAGAGGGCGACCGGCCACAUUGGGACUGAGAUACGGCCCAGACUCCUACGGGAGGCAGCAGUGGGGAAUAUUGCACAAUGGGCGGAAGCCUGAUGCAGCAACGCCGCGUGCGGGAUGACGGCCUUCGGGUUGUAAACCGCUUUCAGCAGGGGCGAAGCUUGUGGUGACGGUACCUGCAGAAGAAGCACCGGCUAACUACGUG
rnacentral:rRNA from 1 species